rnacentral:rRNA from 1 species
AGCGAACGCUGGCGGUAGGCCUAACACAUGCAAGUCGAACGGCAGCACAGUAAGAGCUUGCUCUUACGGGUGGCGAGUGGCGGACGGGUGAGGAAUACAUCGGAAUCUACUUUUUCGUGGGGGAUAACGUAGGGAAACCUACGCUAAUACCGCAUACGACCUACGGGUGAAAGCAGGGGAUCUUCGGACCUUGCGCGAUUGAAUGAGCCGAUGUCGGAUUAGCUAGUUGGCGGGGUAAAGGCCCACCAAGGCGACGAUCCGUAGCUGGUCUGAGAGGAUGAUCAGCCACACUGGAACUGAGACACGGUCCAGACUCCUACGGGAGGCAGCAGUGGGGAAUAUUGGACAAUGGGCGCAAGCCUGAUCCAGCCAUACCGCGUGGGUGAAGAAGGCCUUCGGGUUGUAAAGCCCUUUUGUUGGGAAAGAAAAGCAGCAGGUUAAUACCCCGCUGUUCUGACGGUACCCAAAGAAUAAGCACCGGCUAACUUCGUG